rnacentral:lncRNA from 1 species
UCACUGCAACCUCCGCCUCCCAGGUUCAAGUGCUUCUCCUGCCUCAGCCUCACGAGUAGCUGGGAUUACAGGUUUCAGGCACAGAACUGUAUAUCCAAUAAUAGUGAAAUGGAUCCCACUAAUUAUGACAGAAAUGAUGAUACAUUUAAAUGACUUGGAUGUUUUGUAGGUAUGAUCUCGUGAAACCUUGAGAGAAACUGAAUGAUGAAUGAAACUAUUGUUCCUAUUUCACACAGAAGAAAACUGAAGUUAAAAGGGGUAAAGUAAUUUUGCAUGGCAUGAAGUAGAAAUUCAAAGUACAGGAAUUUGAACUUGGUUCUGUCCUUUUCUGAAGCCCUUGACCACUAUAGACUCAAACAUCACCUUGUUUUUCCACUCAUUCAACACUUUUUUUUUUUUAUUAUCUAAUAGGUUGGCAAUCAUCAUGAGCCCCUGUUCUCAUUCUGCAAAUGGUGAGGCUCUCUAUUGUCCUGACCCCACAGUUCCUGUCCCAUGACCAGGGCCAGCUCACCAAGCAGCUGCAGCAGCACGUAAAGUCAGUGACAUGCCCAUGCGAGUACCUGAGGAAGAUGAUCCUACACCUGCCACCUCCGAUGGAUCCACUGCCUCUGUGCCUGCCUGUACUGCUGAUGCUCCAGUGGAUAACUCAGCAUCCCAGCCUAGGCCAAUGCCACUGAAGAUGGACCUGCCCCUGGGGACCGAGGAGUCCUACCACUCAGCUGUCCCCAGGAGUGCCAGACCCUCAUUCUUAUCCAGGACCUAGAGCCCUACCCCUGGCCUUCCUCAUCAGCCGUAAAUGAUGAUUUACUGCUGUUACCAUCAUCACUGCCUUCAGUGACCAAGGGCUUCCAAGGUGCCAGCUCUGGAACGAAGGAUGCCCUUGGGGUGAUGACACUCAGGUACAUGGGUGCUCAACAGAUUGCUUCCUUCUAUCUCAGACGGUCUUUGCAUGCAUGCAGCCGUUGGCACUCCAUUGUAUGGAAGGAAACCAGCCCAGGGUCACACAGCUGGUCAGCAGCAACAUAGCUGGUCUCAAAUCUAAGGUGCCUGGCCAUGCCUCCAUGAGGGACUGCCUGCAAGGGAGGUUGAUCCUGGCUUUGGGAGGGCCUUUCCUGGGCUGCACGAAUAACCUCCAUUGUUCGAGACCCUAAACUCUGCUCCAUCUUCCUUUCCCUGUCUCUGCUUGGCUAUGAUCACGGCGACUCUAGCAGCG